AACUCAGCUGAGAGCCCCAGGCUUGCCUCAUGCACCCCGGAGGGGCCCACAUCUUACACAGACUGGCAUAGGGCAGCACUGAUUUACAUUACUUAUUUUCUUCUAUAGAUGUUUUAAAUAUUCCUUAAAUUAACAAUUUGAUCUUAUGAAAGAUAAGUUUGCAUCUGUAAAAUAUUAUAAAAGACAAAAAACCUACAACCCUAAUGUGGCAACAACUGAAAAAUAUGUAUUUUAUAAAGAAUGGGUCCAUGUAUUUAAUAUAUGUGACAUUCUUGAUUUUCUAACUUGUAAGGCAGGGUUCUGAUAUUGAGGAAGGUGGGGCAA
rnacentral:lncRNA from 1 species